GGGUUCCACGCGUACCCAUCCCGAACACGACCGUUAAGCCCUCCAGCGCCGAUGGUACUUGGACCGAAGGGUCCUGGGAGAGUAGGACGCCGCCAAGC
rnacentral:rRNA from 1 species